rnacentral:tRNA from 1 species
GAUUAAUUUAGGUUCAAUGGCAGAAUUUCUGACUGUGAAUCAGGAGAUGCAGGUUCGAUCCCUGCCUUCACCCCA